GUGCAGCAGUCGAGAAUAGUCUACAAUGGACGAAAGUCUGAUAGUGCGACGCCGUGUGUGCGAUUAAUUCCUUCGGGAUGUAAAGCACUUUUCUAUGAGAUAAAAGCUCUUUAGGUUAAUAGCUUAUUGAGACGGAUAUUAUUAUAGGAAUAAGCUCCGGCUAACUCCGUGCCAGCAGCCGCGGUAAUACGGAAGGAGCGAGCGUUGUCCGGAUUUACUAGGCGUAAAGGGCUAGUAGGCGACUAAUUAAGUUAUAUGUUAAAUCCCACGGCUCAACUGUGGUCCUGCAUGUAAUACUGGUUAGAUAGAGUACUGUAGAGGAAGGCAGAAUUCCUGGAGUAGCGGUGGAAUGCGCAGGAUAAUCAGGAAGAAUACCAAAAGCGAAGGCAGCCUUCUGGGCAGUUACUGACGCUGAAUAGCGAAGGUGUGGGUAGCGAACAGGAUUAGAUACCCGUGUAGU
rnacentral:rRNA from 1 species